rnacentral:rRNA from 1 species
GACGAACGCUGGCGGCGUGCUUAACACAUGCAAGUCGAACGGAAAGGCCCUGCUUUUGUGGGGUGCUCGAGUGGCGAACGGGUGAGUAACACGUGAGUAACCUGCCCUUGACUUUGGGAUAACUUCAGGAAACUGGGGCUAAUACCGGAUAGGAGCUCCUGCUGCAUGGUGGGGGUGGAAAGUUUCGGCGGUUGGGGAUGGACUCGCGGCUUAUCAGCUUGUUGGUGGGGUAGUGGCUUACCAAGGCUUUGACGGGUAGCCGGCCUGAGAGGGUGACCGGCCACAUUGGGACUGAGAUACGGCCCAGACUCCUACGGGAGGCAGCAGUGGGGAAUAUUGCACAAUGGGCGGAAGCCUGAUGCAGCAACGCCGCGUGCGGGAUGACGGCCUUCGGGUUGUAAACCGCUUUCGCCUGUGACGAAGCGUGAGUGACGGUAAUGGGUAAAGAAGCACCGGCUAACUACGUG